rfam:Trachipleistophora hominis chromosome Tnknown scaffold00103, whole genome shotgun sequence.
GCGGGCGUGGCGCAAUGGUUAGCGCGUGUGACUUCGGAUCUCAAGGUUGUGGGUUCGAAUCCCUCCGUCCGCG